rnacentral:rRNA from 1 species
CUGGAUUUAAGCAUAUAACUAAGCGGAGGAAAAGAAACUAACAAGGAUUCCCCUAGUAACGGCGAGUGAAGAGGGAAGAGCUCAGAUUGUUAAUCUUUGGGGGGCCUCCCCUCAGAGAGUUGUAGUCUGUCGAGCCAACUACCAGCAACGGCCCAGGGAGAAUUCAUCUGGGAAGGUGGAUCAUAGAGGGUGAUAAUCCCGUCUGUGCCUUGGAGACCGUUGUGUACGGUAUGGCUUCAAAGAGUCGAGUUGCUUGGGAAUGCAGCUCUAAGCGGGUGGUAAGUUCCAUCUAAAGCUAAAUAUUGGCAAGAGACCGAUAGCGAACAAGUACAGUGAUGGAAAGA